rnacentral:rRNA from 1 species
GACGAACGCUGGCGGCGUGCCUAAUACAUGCAAGUCGAGCGCAGGAAAUCGACGGAACCCUUCGGGGGGAAGUCGACGGAAUGAGCGGCGGACGGGUGAGUAACACGUAAAGAACCUGCCCUCAGGCCUGGGAUAACCACGAGAAAUCGGGGCUAAUACCGGAUGGGUCAUCGGACCGCAUGGUCCGAGGAUGAAGGGCGCUUCGGCGUCGCCUGGGGAUGGCUUUGCGGUGCAUUAGCUAGUUGGUGGGGUAAUGGCCUACCAAGGCGACGAUGCAUGGCGGACCUGAGGGGGUGAUCGGCCACACUGGGAAGGAGACACGAGCCAGAAUCCUACGGGAGGCAGCAGUAGGGAAUCUUCCACAAUGGACGAAAGUCUGAUGGAGCAACGCCGCGUGAACGAUGAAGGCCUUCGGGUCGUAAAGUUCUGUUGUAAGGGAAGAACAAGUGCCGCAGGCAAUGGCGGCACCUUGACGGUACCUUGCGAGAAAGCCACGGCUAACUACGUGCCAGCCGCCGCUGUAA